UACGGAGGGUGCGAGCGUUGUCCGGAUUUAUUGGGUUUAAAGGGUGCGUAGGUGGCUUUUUAAGUCAGUGGUGAAAUACAGCCGCUCAACGGUUGAGGUGCCAUUGAUACUGAAGAGCUUGAAACAAGUGGAGGCUGCCGGAAUGGAUGGUGUAGCGGUGAAAUGCAUAGAUAUCAUCCAGAACACCGAUUGCGAAGGCAGGUGGCUACGUUUGAUUGACACUGAGGCACGAAAGCAUGGGGAGCAAACAGG
rnacentral:rRNA from 1 species